AGAGACUUGGUAUCGAUGGCCUCAUCCACCAGCCCUGUCAUCUUUUCUACAUUAUCAAUCCAUUGGUUUUUCAUUGUCUCAAAAUGCUCAUAAGCAGCUUGAUUUCCAGGAUUUCUCAGGAGGAUUCGAGCAGCCGAUACUACCUGUGGUGUAAGCUCCCUUGCAGAUUUGACUGUUGCCUGAAUGCCUUCCACAGUAGUUUUAUUAGCAGUUCCAACUGCAGCUGCUUUUUCUGCUGUUGCUCCC
rnacentral:lncRNA from 1 species